rnacentral:tRNA from 1 species
GGGGGUAUGGCGGAAUUGGUAGACGCUACGGACUUAAAAUCCGUUGAUCCUAGGAUUGUGAGGGUUCAACCCCCUCUACCCCCA